CGCGUUAACGAACGAGACCUUAACCUGCUAACUAGUGGGCUGAGCGUGAGCUUAGCAAAUACUUCUUAGAGGGACUGACUACGUUUAGUAGUCGGAAGUUUGAGGCAAUAACAGGUCUGUGAUGCCCUUAGAUGUUCUGGGCUGCACGCGCGCUACACUGACACAGUCAGCGAGUGAUAUACCUUAACCGAGAGGUUUGGGAAAUCUUGUGAAACUGUGUCGUGCUGGGGAUAGAUCAUUGCAAUUAUUGGUCUUGAACGAGGAAUUCCUAGUAAGCGCAAGUCAUCAGCUUGCGUUGAUUACGUCCCUGCCCUUUGUACACACCGCCCGUCGCUAAUACCGAUUGAAUGGGU
rnacentral:rRNA from 1 species